CAAAAACAUGUCCUUUAGUUUAUUUGUUUAAGGUCUGACCUGCCCAAUGAUUUAAUUUAAUGGCCGCAGAAUUUUAACUGUGCUAAGGUAGCAUAAUCACUUGUCUUUUAAUUGAGGGCUUGUAUGAAUGGUUGGACGAGACAUUAACUUUCUUUAAAUUAAUAAUUGUAAUUUAAUUUUUUAGUUAAAAAGCUAAAAUUUAUUAGUGGGACGAGAAGACCCUAUAGAUCUUUACUUUGGGUUCGUUUAAGGAGUUUAGUUGUGGAAUUUUUUUAAUUGAAUUAAAAGUUUGGUUGGGGCGACUGCAGAGUUUAAUUAACCUCUGUUAUUUUUUUUCAUAAAUUAGUGAUUUCAUGAUCCAAUUAUAUUGAUUAUAAGAUUAAGUUACCUUAGGGAUAACAGCGUAAUUUCUUUGGAUAGCUCUUAUUGAUAAAGAAGUUUGCGACCUCGAUGUUGGAUUAAAGUAAGAAAUAGGUGUAGUAGCUUAUUAGUCUGGGUCUGUUCGACCCUUAAUUUUUUACAUGAU
rnacentral:rRNA from 1 species